rnacentral:rRNA from 1 species
UACGUAGGUGGCGAGCGUUAUCCGGAUUUACUGGGUGUAAAGGGUGUGUAGGCGGACUUACAAGUCAGAUGUGAAACCGAUCGGCUCAACUGAUCGACUGCAUUUGAAACUGUAGGCCUUGAGAGUCGGAGAGGUAAGCGGAAUUCCCAGUGUAGCGGUGAAAUGCGUAGAUAUUGGGAGGAACACCAGUGGCGAAGGCGGCUUACUGGACGACCACUGACGCUGAGACACGAAAGCGUGGGGAGCAAAC